rnacentral:rRNA from 1 species
AUAUCAAUAAGGCGAGGAACAGAAACCAACCGGGAUUCCCCCAGUAGUGGCGAAUGAAGCGGGAAAAGCUCAAGUUUGAAAUCCGGCGGGCGACCUCCGGAGUUGUAAGCUGAUGAGGUAUCGACCGACAUGGUCCGGGCCCAAUUUCCUUGGAACAGGAGGUCAUGGAGGGUGAGAACCCCGUCCGUGGCUCGGGUGCCAUUGUCACUGUGUCGUGCCCUCUAAGAGUCGGGUUGUUUGGGAAUGCAGCUCAAAAUGGGUGGUAAAUUUCAUCUAAAGCUAAAUAUUGGCGAGAGACCGAUAGCAAACAAGUAGAGUGAUCGAAAGAUGAAAAGUACUUUGAAAAGAGAGUGAAACAGUAC